ACAGCCAAUUAAGUUCUAUAAGCUCAGCUAAGGGCAUGUUUGGUAACUCGAAAGUCGGCGAAGUGGAAAAAUUCACUUUUAUAAAAGUGACUUUUCAGUUCGAUUGUUUAGUUGCUAUAAAGUAAAAAAAUAAAACUAUAAUUUUAUAUUUUUUUAUUAUUAAAUUAUAUAUAAAGAGGUAAAAAUGUAAACAAACGACUUAUACUUGCAAUUUAAAUUAAAAAUUUAAAUUUAAAUUAAUAUUUAGAAUUCAAAGUUAUAUUUU
rnacentral:lncRNA from 1 species